GCCCACCCGAACUGCCCGGAUCUUCUGCGCCGGGUAGAUCCGCCGCCCGCCGCGGGGCUUGCUUCCGAAUCCGACCGACCAAGAGGCGCGGACGCCGAGCGCCGCUGCCGUCGACGCCGGGACCGGCUCACCGGCGACGUGGGGACCAUGCGCGUAGACUGCCGCAUGGCGGCCACCAGGCCCCCCACCUCCGGAAAUAUAUGAGAAUACAAACACAAUCUGAGUUAAGCAAACCCAGUAUUGUCCAAGUCCUCUCAUUUAAAAGCUGUGGCCAGGGAAGAUUGAGGUGUGAAAGGUACAUCAUUGUCUUGCAGAAAAACUGACAAGAUUUCGUCCAGUAAGAAGAAAUAGGCUAUGGCAAGCCACAAUACUAAACAAAAAUUUGCCGAGAUGCCCUAGCCAUGAUCCCCUUGCAGCCCAAAACGGUUUUGGUGACAGCAUGGGAAGUACAGUAAUUUGUAAUGUUAAUCCUGCCCUGACUGCAGUUCCAGGGCCUGAACAUGUAUGUAAAAGCCACAGAGGACCUUUGAAGCUACCCUUUCAUCAAGUCCAGCUGGUAAGUCGCCUGAGUGAUUAUACUAGAGAUGAAGAGAACUUUUGGCCUCAUUUUCAUCCAGCAAAAAGUCUGUCAUGUGCUGAUUCAACUACUCAGACUGGCAGACAUAGCCCAUUGACCAAAGGAUAGGAUAGCAGCCAACCAAAUCUCAUGUCAAAAAGGGGCCUGCCCGGGUCAGCUCAGAUGGUUCAGGCUAACAAAUCCCUCCUGCUCCAUCUCCACGCAAGAGUUGAGCAGGAAUAGGGAAUCAAGCUGAACCGUGACCUCAGAGACGAAAUGCUGGCUUUUUGGAGGAAACAGGAAGCUCAUUUCGGUGCCGAAAAAGAAGGAAGUGCGUUUGGUUUGGCCGGUCAGGGUAAGUGGGUAACAGAUUGGGCCAAUCUGCAGAUGCCAUGAACUGGGUACUAUCUUCAAGACAAGAGGAUUGAACCCAUGUAUAGAGUUGAAAACUAUAAGAGAGCAUACAAGACAACGAACACAGCUUGAAACAAUAGGUAAUAUUGAACUUUGCUUGAUUUCCCUGCUUAGCUUGAUCAUAUCAAUGGAAACACUAGACAGUUUGGAUGGCGUUAGUCUUCACCUCAUGUCAGGUCAUCCACCGUGGCUGCUACAUUUGCCCAAUUUACAAGCAGGCUUGCUAGCUAAGCUCCAUUUCUACCCAUCUAAUGACUUGGUGGUUAAUACUACUAGUUGGUAUCCAUCUUCUGAACCUGAACCCCAAAAUGUCAGCAAGUGAAGGAAACCCCAUGGCACUCUUCACAACCAUCACCCUCCCUUCAGUUCAGAAGCAACCCUUAGCUUUCCUUCCAGCUACAAAGAACUUAAGCAAAUGACAAAUAACAACUCAAUGGUCACCUGCAUCAAGUGUUACUUAUGUCAGUGUACGUUUUGCCACGAUGCCGGAUCGGCGUACGCAGCUUAAGUGUCAUUCCAGACACUGAAGAGCUGCGCACCGCCAUGGCCAACGCCGGCCAUGUUGUCGUUGCUGCUUGCAGCCGCUGCCGCUACCGGUGAAGCGGAGGCCGUCGUCCAGGAAGGCAUCCUCCCGCCACCGUAGGCCGCCUCUGCGUUGACCAGCAUUCAUCGGCAUCAUGUAGCCGCCACCGCCGUUGCUGUCUCCUACCCCAUUGUACACGACGGAGUUGGAGCCGGUGCUAUGCUCGAGCGAGGAGUUGUCGAUGCUGCCGAGGCCGUGCAUCGCC